rnacentral:rRNA from 1 species
GACGAACGCUGGCGGCGCGCUUAACACAUGCAAGUCGAACGGAAAGGCCUGCUUUCCCUUGUGGAUUGCGGGUACUCGAGUGGCGAACGGGUGAGUAACACGUGAGUGAUCUGCCCCCAACUUGGGUAUAAGCCUGGGAAACUGGGUCUAAUUCCCGAUAGGACUGCAGGGUGGUGCCUGUGGUGGAAAACGAUUUUCUAGUGGUUGGGGAUGAGCUCGCGGCCUAUCAGCUUGUUGGUGGGGUAAUGGCCUACCAAGGCGGCGACGGGUAGCCGGCCUGAGAGGGUGGACGGACACAUUGGGAGUGAGAUACGGCCCAGACUCCUACGGGAGGCAGCAGUGGGGAAUAUUGAACAAUGGGCGGAAGCCUGAUGCAGCGACGCAGCGUGGGGGAUGACGGCCUUCGGGUUGUAAACUCCUUUCGACCGCGAGGAAGCCACCUGGUUGGAAGGGUGGUGACGGUAGUGGUAGAAGAAGCACCGGCUAACUACGUG